GCUCGCUAGGUGGCGACACUUUGCCAUAUAUCCCUCCUCAGCCGAACUGUCAAAUCGUGAGACGUUGUUUGUAUACGAAAUUUUUAUCGGUUUCUAGCGUCGAUCCUAAGAAUAUCUGAACUACAAACAACGCCAGAAUGAAUCGUACCAUGGAUGAGAAGGAAGAGUUGGUGAAGAAAUCAUUGUUCAAUUUUGUCAGAAAACAAGUACCUGCUGCACAACUUAGCUUAAUUGAUGACAUUGUGCUGAGUUAUGUGGUUAGCAUGGUGGAAGAAAAUGCCUUGGAAGAAGACUUAGAUGUGGAGGGUCUGUGCGAAAUGGUGUCAGCCUGUCUUCCUGAAUUUUCUACUAUUGAAAAAGAUGCUGUCUCUAAAUGGUUGCUCGAUGUCAAGAAUAAACUAUAUCAAGGCAAUAAACAAAAUGAGAAUUGUCAAUCUCAAGAUCCAUUAAGUCACAUUAGCUUGACGGCAUUAUUGCCGCCGGACGCACAAAGAAUAAGGGUGCAUCACUUGUCAGAAACAAGCGAUGCAGGAAGCGAUUCCAGCGGCGAAUAUUUUGCAGAGCAGGAAUCUUCCUGGCAUCAAGUGGCUCUUCUACAAGAAAUGUUUCCAGGAGCAAGUCCUGCUGAAGCUCGACAUUGUUUGGCAGUGGCAGGAGGAGACGUAGCUAAAGCAGCUCAACUGGUCCUUCAUAGACAAGAAGCUGGCCAAAGUCUUGUUGGCAAUCUGACCUUCCUUACUCCCAGUGGCCGGAACAAGGCUCGUGUAAACGAUGAGGAAUUGAAGUCACGUAUCAUCGCUCGCUACAGUUACGUUGACAGAGAUGAUGAUUCCCGCGAACACCGUCCAGUAGCUCCAAAAACAGAGCCGAAGAAGCUGGUGCGCUAUCUUGACAACAAGAUCGUGAGUGUGAAGGGUGAACGUUACACGGAGGUUCGUCGUGGUGGCGAGGACGAGGAUGGACACGAAAAUGGAAGAAAGAGAGGCCACAGCCGCCCGUAACCAGGCCCUCCGCCUCCACCACCUGAUCCACCCCCUUGGAGGCAUCUGCUUUUAAAUUAAACUUCAAGUUAGAUCUUUUUCUUCUCGGCUGAGCCCAGGAGUAUAGCGAGAGAGUAUUGGAUAUCAGUGAGAAUAACGAGUUCAACAUAAACCUUUGGGUUUGGAAUACCUUAACACGUGCGAAUCGAAUAUUACUAUUUCCUUUUCUUUUGGCCGAAUCGUUAAAUAUAACGAGGAGGGGGAGGGGCGGUGACGGAAGUCCGCACAGACAAUGCAGAACUGUACAGACUUCAAGUUCAAUGAAAAUCAACGAUCAAUUUCGUUGCUACUUAAUUAAAGUAUAAAUCGUAAACCAAUUUGUUUUAAUUUUAUCACGCACAGUAUGCGUGACUCGCGUAUGAAAUUAUCUUAAGGACAGCUAACGUUAGCCAGAUAAUGGCUGAAUAGUUUAUAAUUGAAAAGAAUACACGGCAGUAGAUAUAAACAUUUAAGGACACAAAUAGGAAUAUUUGUAUGAUUUUCCUAAAUCUCUAACAUUUGCACAGUCGCUUCAUCUCCCAUUUGAAUUUUUAUACGUACGACAUUACAAGGAUCUUUGUUACUUGAUAUUUAUCUAAUGCAGAUUUAUCAUUUUUCCACAACUUUCACAUUGUUAAAAAUAAUCAUUUUCUAUUUGCCACCAUUUUUUCACAUACAUUCAUCUAGAGCGUAAAAUUAAUUGACCAAUGAGCAUUGCGAACUGUAUUCCUGUCUUGAUUUAGAAUGAUUUUUAAAAAUUCCUACGUUGUUAAAAAUUACGUAAUUGCAUUGUUUUUCUCAAAGCUACAAUACGGAAGUUUCGAAUAAUAUAACUGAUCUGUUACGUCAUUAUUAAAAUUAUAACUUCAAAUAUUAUUGAAGAUCGUGAUGUCCAUUAAAAAGUUAUGAAUUCAUAGUAAACUGCUAGCAGUCUAUAUUGUGUAGUAUGUAUACGUGCAAACAAAAAAAGCUUUUUUUAUUAUUAUACCUUAUGCAAAUGUCUCUGUAAUAAAAUUUGGCAUAUGAACAUUAGGUAGAGAACAAAAUGUGAACCACGUGUAUAGGCGGAAACAAAAUUUGAUUAUCACGCCAUAUGAUUUACCAGUAUUAUUAUUGUUAUUGCUAUUAUAAUUAAUACAAACUUUAACAUAUAGGACACGCAUAUAUUAUAUUCAUUAUAGUGUUAGAAUUCUUUACAUUGAGUGAUAUAUACUUCAUAACUAUUAUGAUAUACGGUAUCGAACAUCACAGAGAAAACUAUCGUUACUAUAAAGCGAUGAUUAUGAUUAUUAUUGAUUCAUAUUAUAUGUAAUAUCUUCAUUUGUUUUAUUGUCAUUAAUAUCGAUACUACUAUUACUAUUAAUGCUACUAUAUUUUUUACUAUUAUUACUAUUUUUAUUUCACGAGUGACUGAGUCGAAUAUCAUUUUAAAAAUAAGCACAUUUUUAUAUCCUACAUACUUAUUCUUUCCUUUUUUUUCCUCAACAAUGAAAUUACUUUCAGAUAUCAUUAAGUUAAUUGUAAAUGUGAAUCUGAUAAAUAUCAUUUCUUGAAUAUAAAACAAUUAUUCAAUAUGUUUGCAAAUUCAAAGUUUAGGUGUUGAGGAGAAAAAUGAUGAAUUAAAAAGAUGUAGGAUACGAAGAAGGAAGCAAUUUUAUUUCUUUUACAUAAUGGGACGAAUCUUGAGUCAAAUUGUCAUGGCUUUCUUUUAACAUUAAACAAGAAAAAAAGUAUAACAAUUCAUGGGAUGUAACGUACUUUGCCCCAUUUUAUAUGUGGUUUGAUAUGUUCAUUUUUAAGAUACAUUUUUAUAAUUAAGCUUUUGACACUAAUUACUAAUUGAACUACGGCAAUUAAAUAUCACUUUAUUAUGUCCAUCACCAUUGAACAGCCUUUGUCACUACAAUAUUAAUGAAUGUACUUUCAUUUUAUGACUGCAAUGCAUUGAUUUCGAUCGACUGACACCGAAAAUCCGGUGAUAUUUCAUUUCUUUUCAUUAUACACUUUACGUAAUUUACACCAAUAUCUUUAGGUAGUCCUAAAUAUGUAUCACAGUGGGCCGAUCCUUGCCAUAGAUAAUUCGUAUCUUUACUAUAGUAUCUGUAUACAAUAAGUAAACAAAUGAAAAUAUAACUAAACGUAUUCCAAUUUUUUGGCGGUAAACCGAGUGUAUUCUACCUUUGAUUAAUUUUUUAAAGUAAUUUCACAAUUGUUAAAGGGGGCGGGAUGAAGGUGAAGAAUGUUAUUUUCGUGGACAUUGGACACAUAUAUAUAUAUUAAUAUAUAUGUAUAAACACCAUCCACGAAUAAUAAUACCCAAUGAAUAUUACGGCACUAGUCGAACAACGUUAUGUACUUACAUGUUGGCCAAAAAGUCAAUAUGAUUUUAUUGAUAAUCGGGAAUACUUUAGUUCGCAGUAAAAGGUCUGCGUAUAGAUCACACGCGAUCUUCAUGUGUGUGUUUCAUAUAAUAAUUAUUAGACAUUACUACGAUAUACAUAGUAGUACGUAUAGAUACUCUAUUAUAUAGCUAUUAUUGCGAUAAUAAUUAUUAUACACUUAUAAAUAUAUAUUAUAAAUAACGAUUACGAGUACUAUAUAUUUCGCAUUCACUCUGUUACAAGUGACACAAUACUCUGUUAUAAUAUACUUUUGUCGACUACGAAUUUUUUAUUUUCAUAAACGUUCUCGUACGAAGAUUCUGACAUAAUGUGACACUUGCGCCAUCUGUAAAGAAGGUAAUAAAAAAUACAAAACAUUCUCGUUAUAUCAAUUAUAAAUUUCUCAAAUUGCGCAACUCUUGUAUAAACACUAAUUCAAAAGAUCUACGUACUUAUUACACGAUGAAUAGGAACAGUAUGUAAAAAUAUGGCAAUGGUACUCGGUUGCGAUAUUAAUGCAUUGAGGGACCUUAAGAAAAUUAAAAAAAAAAAACAUUUUUGUGUCACGGUCUAUCUUCUGAAUAAUUAUAUUUAGUUUCUUCUUUUACUAUCUAUUGACUGACGCUCGUGUGAAGUUUACGUGGUACUCAGUACUUUACUGCUUUUAUUAUUUUACUCUAUAUAUGUAUACACAUAACUAUUAUUAUUAUACUUACCUUAAGAGAGGCGGUAAUUCGCCACAUGAUUGUCUUAUUAAUAAAAGCAAUGAUUUUAUUGCUUUUACCGUGAGCAUUAGUGUAAAGGACUACACGUGACUACUACACGACCACAAGUAUUACACAUUGCCGGGUAUAGUAAUGAGAUUAUUAAUUGUAAAUUACUACGUAUGACAUAACUUAAAAUCUAGUAUCUCACUUUACCCAUUUAUUUUUCUCUGCUCACGACCGAUGGUCCUGUAAUUCAAUAAAUAAAAUAAUAAACAAG